AUACCUCCCUGGCAGGGGAGAUGCCAUGAUCACGAAGGUGGUUUUCCCAGGGCGAGGCUUAUCCAUUGCACUCCGGAUAUGCUGACCCCUGCAAUUUCCCCAAAUGUGGGAAACUCGACUGCAUAAUUUGUGGUAGUGGGGGACUGCGUUCGCACUCUCCCCUA
rnacentral:snRNA from 1 species